rnacentral:rRNA from 1 species
GACGAACGCUGGCGGCGUGCUUAACACAUGCAAGUCGAACGGAAAGGCCCUGCUUUUGCGGGGUUCUCGAGUGGCGAACGGGUGAGUAACACGUGAGUAACCUGCCCUUGUCUUUGGGAUAACUUCAGGAAACUGGGGCUAAUACCGGAUAGGAGCUCCUGCUGCAUGGUGGGGGUUGGAAAGUUUCGGCGGUUGGGGAUGGACUCGCGGCUUAUCAGCUUGUUGGUGGGGUAGUGGCUUACCAAGGCUUUGACGGGUAGCCGGCCUGAGAGGGUGACCGGCCACAUUGGGACUGAGAUACGGCCCAGACUCCUACGGGAGGCAGCAGUGGGGAAUAUUGCACAAUGGGCGGAAGCCUGAUGCAGCAACGCCGCGUGCGGGAUGACGGCCUUCGGGUUGUAAACCGCUUUCGCCUGUGACGAAGCGUGAGUGACGGUAAUGGGUAAAGAAGCACCGGCUAACUACGUG